UAUUAUAUUUUUGUAUUUCAUAUGUGAGCGUCAAAAAAAACAAGUAUAGACAAAAAGAAUAACUAUUGGGACAGAGAUAGAAUAAAAAUAUUGAAAUCUACAUUAUUUUCAGAAUAUCACAAAAGAAAUACAUAAAUAAAGGAAAGAAUAGUACAUAAUAAAAAAAGAAUAGAAUACCAAAUAUAUAUCUUCAAAGAGGCAAGGUAAAAUAAAAUAAGAAUUGAAGCUUAGCGCCAUCUCUUGAAUACUUUUAAAGAUGUCUCAAAAAUAGUAACGUCUUCUAAAACUAUCUCUUAAAAACGUCUCUUCUAACGUCUUCUAAUUAUCUAGUUACGAUUAAAAUAAAAUAUAUUUAAUAAAUAAGACAUUCUGAAAAUAUUGUGAUUUAUAAGAAAAAUAAUUUAAAGGAUGUAUUUAAGACGCUUUUAAGAAGUUCUUAUAUUAUUUAGAUUAUAUGAUAAUGCUAUAAAUAUUUACUGAAUAUUCUUUUAUAAUAGAUUAAACAGUAUGCAUAAAAAAGAAAAAAUAUAACUUUUUAAAGAAAUAUAAUUUAUUAUAAAUUAUAAAUUUAUAAUUUAUAAGAAUAUAUAUAAUAAAACGACUUAAACUUUCUGUUUAAUCAAUUAAAUUGUUCGUGAUUUCAUGCACAAAUGGGUACGUAAAAUUCAUGAAAUUUAUAUAACAAAUAUUAGUAAAAGUAAUUAAAAUACUAUAAAUUUUAUUUUAUUUUAUUAUUAUAUUUUGUCGUUACGUACUUGAUAUAUGCUGAGUACUAAAUUUAAUUUUCCACAUUUAAUAUUUUUAAUAACAAAGUCACAAUCGCGGCCAUUAUGAACAUAAGCAACGUCAUAGCUUCAGUAAAGGAAUUUCAGAACACGAUAGUUGAACGUGGUGUAAAUUUUCAUCUCAGAGUGCGCGUAGAUUAGUCGAUUCUUUUUACGAAAUUACAUCUCUUGGUUCGUAUUUUAUGACAAAUCUUUAUAACAUGUUGUAGAGUAAUACAUACGAAAAUGUUCUAUGGCUAAUGAAAACUAGUCAUGAAUUUCGGAACUGUAGAAUGUCCGUUGCGUAGAUCAAAAAUAAUAUACACUACAGGCGCCAUUACGUUGCGCCAUCUGGAUAUCAUUACGAAGAAAUUAUAUUAGCUAGAGUUUGGAAAAACUUUUGAAUAACGUUAUUACUCUUUCUGAUUAGGAGUAUUAUAUAGUAAAAUUAACGAAUUUAAAAACUAAUAUAACGCAUAGUAAUUACAUUUGCGUUAUGAUUCAGUAUAGGAGUACGUACUCCUUAUGAUUAUAUUCACUUAACCUCAAUUUGAAUGAAAAAUGAAUACCUGUGACUAUGAAUACAUAAUUUUAUAUUUGUCUUACGGUGAUAAUAAAAAAAUUCAAUCUUUCUUGAAAAAGAAAAUCGAAAAUUUUUUUAAUUUAGCAAGAAAAGACGUGAACUUCAAGAGCUUGAAAAUAUCAAUAACGACGGUAUUUUACAAGAUGUGCUAUAUGUAAUAGUUUUAUAAAAAAUU